rnacentral:rRNA from 1 species
AAAGAAACCAACAGGGAUUGCCUCAGUAACGGCGAGUGAAGCGGCAAAAGCUCAAAUUUGAAAUCUGGCUCCAUGCGGAGCCCGAGUUGUAAUUUGGAGAGGACACUUCGGGUGCGGCCACGGCAUAAGUUCCUUGGAACAGGACGUCAUAGAGGGUGAGAAUCCCGUCUUUGGCUGCUGGACCGCGCCCAUGCGAAGUUCCUUCGACGAGUCGAGUUGUUUGGGAAUGCAGCUCUAAGUGGGUGGUAAAUUUCAUCUAAAGCUAAAUAUUGGCCGGAGACCGAUAGCGCACAAGUAGAGUGAUCGAAAGGUUAAAAGCACCUUGAAAAGGGAGUUAAAUAGCACGUGAAAUUGUUGAAAGGGAAGCGCUUGCAACCAGACUCGGUCGUGGGGGCUCAGCGGGCAUGCGUGCCCGUGUACUCCCCCAUGCUCCGGGCCAGCAUCAGUUCUGGCGGUUGGUUAAAGGCCUCUGGAAUGUAUCGUCCUCCGGGACGUCUUAUAGCCAGGGGCGCAAUGCGGCCAGCCGGGACUGAGGAACGCGCUUCGGCACGGAUGCUGGCAU